UUUUUUGUAUAUUUGACAGAUUCACUGUAUCUUUUUUUGGAGUAAAAGUUGGGAGAAAAAUUAUGAGAGGUAGAGGAGACACAAGGACGAAUCCAAAUGUCUCCAACUUCCUCUCUAAUUUUUACUCUUGAAAGAAAAAUAACAAGGAAAGAAAGCAAAAAAAAAACCUUUACUUGUGCUACUCUUUACUACUCCUUGCCUUUCUCUUCUCUAUACUUUCCUUAAAUAACAGUACUAAUUAAAAUUCCUCUUCUCUCCCUCCUAACAAAAAAGUAAAAAAAAGGGGGACCUUUCUUAAACUAAUCUUUUGCUGCAAAUACAAAAGCUUAAAAGAAUGGUUUAAGCAAGCAAAACCUUAAGUUUGAGGGCAUUUUUCUGUUCUGUUAUAUGUAUGUAUCUCUGCAUGCUUGACUUUUGUAAACAAAAAAAAAAUAAA